CAAAGAAUGCAUUACAGCCCUGUACUGGCAAGCAUACCUAAGAAUGUGGUCUGGGAUUACUUCAGACUAAGUUUCUUUGGGGAUCCCCCAAUCGAACUGUCAGACUCAAAACCCCAACCAUGAAGAGAA